GACGAACGCUGGCGGCGUGCUUAACACAUGCAAGUCGAACGGUGACCCAGGGCUUGCCCUGGUGAUCAGUGGCGAACGGGUGAGUAACACGUGGGCAACCUGCCCCUGACUUCGGGAUAACUCCUCGAAAGAGGAGCUAAUACCGGAUACGACCACUUCGGACAUCCGAUGGUGGUGGAAAGUUUUUCGGUCAGGGAUGGGCCCGCGGCCUAUCAGCUAGUUGGUGGGGUAAUGGCCUACCAAGGCGACGACGGGUAGCCGGCCUGAGAGGGCGACCGGCCACACUGGGACUGAGACACGGCCCAGACUCCUACGGGAGGCAGCAGUGGGGAAUAUUGCGCAAUGGGCGAAAGCCUGACGCAGCGACGCCGCGUGAGGGAUGAAGGCCU
rnacentral:rRNA from 1 species